rnacentral:lncRNA from 1 species
UUUCUUUAAAAUAGUCGACAAAAUUGCUCUUACAAAAUUUCCAUUUGGGAGCCUCGAGCUCGAUGGGGGAAAUACACUGCAAAUACUGACAGUUGGCAGGUAUGGUCAUCAAAAAAGUUGACAUGUUACUAUGUACAUUUACCUUUAUGUUACUUGAUGUUCUUGCUAUACACACAGUACAGAGACUAGUCAAUCUUUGUGAACUAUUUUUUAUGGGAGUCAUAGAAUAUGCGUAUACAAUCAAUAAUUAAAAAUAGUCUAUUUAUAUUGAAAAGGAAAAGUUCUUAUAUGUCUAAAGAAGAGGAACGAAAGACACCAAAGGGACAGUCAAACUCAUAAAUUUAAAGCAAACUGACAAGGCCAUGGCUAAAAAUGCAUUUCAUGGGAGGCACAGAAAAUAUACUGUAAACAGUAGACUAUAGAUAUAGGUGAACUAGGUACAAAAGAACUCUAAAUCUUAAAUUCUACAAACCACCUCUGUUCUAUGGAAGAUAAUGAUAUAACUGGACUAGAAAUACACACAACCUGUAAUUAACUGCCUUUACAGCGCUUUCGCGCUUUGAUUUUG